CAGGCUCAGAAAAGUCAAAAAUAGUGAGAUAUCUUGCAGAGGGAUGCAGCACUCUUAAAAUUGCAAAGCUUCUGAAGCGUGAUCAUCGAACAAUUAAGCGUUUCAUUCAAAAUAGUCAACAGGGUCGCAAGAAGCGUGUGGAAAAACCAAGGCGCAAAAUAACUGCCCAUGAACUGAGAAAAGUCAGGCGUGCAGCUGCCACGAUGCCACUUGCCACCAGUUUGGCCAUAUUUCAGAGCUGCAACAUCACUG